rfam:Desulfotomaculum gibsoniae DSM 7213, complete genome.
AAUUGAUAAAGGCAAAUCCGUCGAAAGGCGGAGACGCAAAGCCGCAAGUCUAAAGCAAGAGAUUGCUAUGAUAGUUGGGCUGCCAAU